GACGUAGGGCGCGAGCGUUGUCCGGAUUUAUUGGGCGUAAAGAGCUCGUAGGCGGCUUGUCGCGUCGAAUGUGAAAUCCUGCGGCUCAACUGCAGGCUUGCAUUCGAUACGGGCAGGCUCGAGUUCGGUAGGGGAGACUGGAAUUCCUGGUGUAGCGGUGAAAUGCGCAGAUAUCAGGAGGAACACCAAUAGCGAAGGCAGCUCGCUGGGACGUUACUGACACUGAGGCGCGAAAGCGUGGGGAGCGAACAGG
rnacentral:rRNA from 1 species